rnacentral:rRNA from 1 species
UCUGCUUCUGAGGAGGCAGAGGUGGAGUCUGAGGAGGAGUCUGAUUCUGGCAUUGCAAGUCUGGCUACAACAUACGUCGCCAAGUCCAUCUUCAACAUUGAAGACAAUGACUUCAUCACCGACACCCAUGUAAAUGACAAGGACGACUCCACUCCUACCUACUGCUUCAUGGCACGCGGUGCCAAGGUAAACACACGCACUACUCGCUAUCAAACAUCCAGUGACGAUGACUCUGAUUGUGAUUCAAAACCCAGCUACAAAACACUUGCUAAAAUUGCAACUGAACAACAAAAGGCCAUGGAACAUAUUCAAAAACUGUUAGACAGAAGCGAUGAUCUGUUGGGUGCUGAAAUGACUCGAUCUGAAUCCUUAAUUGAAGACAUAAAAAAUCUUCACGUUAAGUAUCAGGAACUUGAAGAUCGUCUUGAUACUCUCUCAACAACUCAUGAAAAGCUUUCCUAUGAUUAUCUUCAAAGGAAGCAAGAACUUGAGAAAUUGAGAGCGGCUCAUGAAGAUCUUCAAAAGGAAAACGAGUCACUUCGCACCGAACAGAUCAGUUCCGCUCAGGAAGGAUUUGAACCACCAUGUCUUAAAUGCAUUGAGCGUGAUAAUGCUACUUCUGUUGCUAAAUGUUCCACUACUACUGCUGUUGCAAUAUCUUCAACUGUUGCAAUAUCUUCAACUGUUGAUGUGGUAACUAACCCCUCUGCUGAGGAUACCACUGCUAUUGCUGAUGAGAAUGCUAGGUUGGAGACAUUGCUUGAAACAGGGAUGUACAAAAGUCUUAAAGGACAUCAGACAUUAUGUGAUGUCCUCAAGAAGCAGAUUCUGAACCGAAACCCUAGGAAAGAGGGUGUUGGGUUCGUAAGGAAAAUAAAUGCA